GAACGCUGGCGGCGUGCCUAAUACAUGCAAGUCGAGCGAACAGAUAAGGAGCUUGCUCCUUUGACGUUAGCGGCGGACGGGUGAGUAACACGUGGAUAACCUACCUAUAAGACUGGGAUAACUUCGGGAAACCGGAGCUAAUACCGGAUAACAUAUUGAACCGCAUGGUUCAAUAGUGAAAGGCGGCUUUGCUGUCACUUAUAGAUGGAUCCGCGCCGUAUUAGCUAGUUGGUAAGGUAACGGCUUACCAAGGCAACGAUACGUAGCCGACCUGAGAGGGUGAUCGGCCACACUGGAACUGAGACACGGUCCAGACUCCUACGGGAGGCAGCAGUAGGGAAUCUUCCGCAAUGGGCGAAAGCCUGACGGAGCAACGCCGCGUGAGUGAUGAAGGUCUUCGGAUCGUAAAACUCUGUUAUCAGGGAAGAACAAAUGUGUAAGUAACUGUGCACAUCUUGACGGUACCUGAUCAGAAAGCCACGGCUAACUACGUGCCAGCAGCCGCGGUAAUACGUAGGUGGCAAGCGUUAUCCGGAAUUAUUGGGCGUAAAGCGCGCGUAGGCGGUUUUUUAAGUCUGAUGUGAAAGCCCACGGCUCAACCGUGGAGGGUCAUUGGAAACUGGAAAACUUGAGUGCAGAAGAGGAAAGUGGAAUUCCAUGUGUAGCGGUGAAAUGCGCAGAGAUAUGGAGGAACACCAGUGGCGAAGGCGACUUUCUGGUCUGUAACUGACGCUGAUGUGCGAAAGCGUGGGGAUCAAACAGGAUUAGAUACCCUGGUAGUCCACGCCGUAAACGAUGAGUGCUAAGUGUUAGGGGGUUUCCGCCCCUUAGUGCUGCAGCUAACGCAUUAAGCACUCCGC
rnacentral:rRNA from 2 species